rnacentral:rRNA from 1 species
UGGGGGCAACCCUGAUCCAGCAAUGCCGCGUGUGUGAAGAAGGCCUUCGGGUUGUAAAGCACUUUCGAUGGGGAAGAAAUACUUAAGGUUAAUACCCUUGAGGGUUGACGUUACCCAUAGAAGAAGCACUGGCUAACUCUGUGCCAGCAGCCGCGGUAAUACAGAGAGUGCAAGCGUUAAUCGGAAUUACUGGGCGUAAAGCGCACGUAGGUGGGCAUUUAAGUCGGAUGUGAAAGCCCCGGGCUUAACCUGGGAAUUGCAUCCGAUACUGGGUGCCUAGAGUAUGGUAGAGGGAAGUGGAAUUUCCGGUGUAGCGGUGAAAUGCGUAGAUAUCGGAAGGAACAUCAGUGGCGAAGGCGGCUUCCUGGACUAAUACUGACACUGAGGUGCGAAAGCGUGGGGAGCAAACAGGAUUAGAGACCCUGGUAGUCCACGCUGUCAACGAUGAGAACUAGACGUUGGGAGGUUACCUCUUAGUGUCGCAGCUAACGCGAUAAGUUCUCCGCCUGGGGAGUACGGCCGCAAGGUUAAAACUCAAAGGAAUUGACGGGG